rnacentral:tRNA from 1 species
CCUUGGUUAGCUCAGCUCGUAUAAGAGUUCCACUGGAAAUGGAAAGGUCCCGGGUUCGAUACCCGGACUAGGCG